rnacentral:tRNA from 1 species
ACUUAAAUAGCUUAAAUUAAAGAGUAUAAUAUUGAAGAUAUUAAGGUAAUAGUAUUUAUUUUUAAGUA